GGAGGCGUGAAUCUCAUCUGUAAGAAGAUGAAUCCACUGUGGUUCUUCCUCUUUCUGCUGUCAGCUCCUAGAGGUGUCCUGUCCCAGGUGCAGCUGCAGGAGUCGGGGCCCAGCCUGGUGAAGCCCUCGCAGACCCUCUCCCUCACCUGCACGGUCUCCGGAUUCUCAGUUACCAGCUAUGCUUUAGGCUGGGUCCGCCAGGCUCCAGGAAAGGGCCUGGAGUGGCUUGGUUCUAUAUUGAGUUUGAUGGAGUAUGAAGAAAGCACAAUCUAUAACCCAGCCCUGAAGUCCCGGCUCAGCAUCACCAGCGACACCUCCAAGAGCCAAGUCUCCAUGUCACUGAGCAGCGUGACCCCCGAGGACACGGCCGUCUAUUACUGCUCCAGGGAGGGGGCUGGAGGGUCUUCCUCGUCCCUGUGGGACGCUUUUGACCUCUGGGGCCGGGGCAUCCCGGUCACCGUCACCUCAGCGAGCCCAUCCUCCCCGACUCUCUUCCCCCUGGUCUCCUGCGUCAGCCCCCAGUCCGAUGAAAGCCAGGUGGCCCUGGGCUGCCUGGCCCAGGACUUCCUGCCCAGCUCCAUCACCUUCUCCUGGACAUUCAAGGACAAUAGAGAGGUCAACAGCCAGAACAUCCAGACCUUCCCAUCUGUCCUGAGGAAUGGCAAGUACGUGGCCUCCUCCCAGGUGGUCCUGCCGUCCGAGAGCGUCCCGAAGGGGCCUGAUGACUACCUGGUGUGCAGUGUCAAGCACUCCAACGGCGACAAGUCUGUGAACGUGGUCACCGAAGAGACCGCAGUGCAGCCCCCCAACGUGAGUGUCUUCGUCCCCCCCCGAGAGGCGUUCUCCGGCUCUCCCCAGCGCACGUCCAGGCUCAUCUGCCAGGCAACAGACUUCAGCCCCAGGCAGAUCUCCUUGUCCUGGUUUCGUGAGGGAAAGCGGAUGGUGUCUGGCAUCAGUGAAGGCCCGGUGGAGGCUGUACCGUCCUCCUCGCCCAUGACCUUCAGGACCUACAGCAUGGUGACCAUCACGGAGGUGGACUGGCUCAGCCAGAACAUAUUCACCUGCGAGGUGGAGCACAACGGAGAGAUCAUCCAGAAGAACGUGUCCUCCAUGUGUGGCAGCCCCACAGGUCCAAACCCUAGCAUCGGCGUCUACACCAUCCCCCCCUCCUUCGCCGGCAUCUUCCUCACCAAGUCAGCCAAGCUUUCCUGCCUGGUCACAGACCUGGUCACCUACGACAGCCUGAGCAUCUCCUGGACCAGCCAGAAAGGCGAGGUGCUGAAGACCCACACCAACAUCUCUGAGAGUCACCCCAACGGCACCUUCAGCGCCGUGGGUGAGGCCUCUCUCUGCGUGGAAGACUGGGAGUCAGGAGACAGGUUCACGUGCACGGUGACCCACACAGAUCUGCCCUCACCACUGAAGCGCAGCAUCUCCAGGCCCAAAGAGGUCGCCAAGCACAUGCCGUCCGUGUACGUGCUGCCUCCCACGCGGGAACAGCUGAGCCUGCGGGAGUCUGCCUCCGUCACCUGCCUGGUGAAGGGCUUCUCGCCUGCGGACGUGUUCGUGCAGUGGCUGCAGAAGGGGCAGCCCAUGUCCCCCGACAAGUACGUGACCAGCGCCCCAGUACCUGAGCCCCAGGACCCCAAGGUCUACUUCGUGCACAGCCUGCUGACGGUGAGCGAGGAGGACUGGAACAGCGGGGAGACCUACACCUGCGUCGUGGGCCACGAGGCCCUGCCCCACAUGGUGACCGAGAGGACCGUGGACAAGUCCACCGAGGGGGAGGUGAGCGCCGAGGAGGAGGGCUUCGAGAACCUCAACACCAUGGCAUCCACCUUCAUCGUCCUCUUCCUCCUGAGCCUCUUCUACAGCACCACGGUCACCCUGUUCAAGGUGAAGUGACGGCCAGCCACGAACGUGGGGGACCAGAGAAGGAACGAGAGGGGCGCCGCCUUGGGGCCGGAGUCCCUGGCCUGUGUGGCUUGUCCACGUGUACUGAAAUCGUCCCCAAGUCCCUCUCCAGCUUCAAGCGCCGAGAAACCAGCUUCUCUAGAUGUGGCCAAAUGCCGUAGCCAAGCACGCAGCCCACGGCCUUGGGCUCCGCCC